GAAAUGCAGAAGAGAAACGGGUUGAAAAGAGGAAGAAAAAACACAGAUGAAAAGAAGAGGAAAAGGAGGCGCGCACAAGGGAGUCCAGGUGUGUCGUGGAAAGAGAACUUUGUGAUUUGGUAUCAAAGGGAGGAAAGAGUUUGCAGGUGUAUGUACAGAACAGAGGUGUGUUUCACAGGUGGAUGUGAAGAUCACAGAGAUGUGCGGCGAAAUGAAAGCCGACCGUGAAUCCGCCCACAGUUUGUGUUCACAACAGGUCAAUGGUGGUGAAUAAACACGGCCGCGCGGUUCACAGAAGUCAACCUCAUUUGAACUGAAGACUCACUACACGUGUACCAGAGAGAGACUGUUGUUAAAAAACCUCUGCAGGGGCCAGUUUAUGGCUUAACUGUCUCUGGCAAACAUCUUUCCGCCCCUUAAAGAAGAGACUCGUAACAGGUCAGUGCAUGAACGGGUGGUCUGGGGGUGAGUGGGAUAUUGGAAUGACUUAACAUGACGCUUCAUGAACACAAUGAUUAUUUAAGAUUCACGCGAGUCAGAGAAAGAGUGGAGAACAGAGACCGUUGAUUUAGUCUAAUGGGUGAAUAGAUUAAGGAUAGACAGGCUUAUACAGGGUUCAGAUUUCUGUGAGAGGUAUUUCAGCAUGGAUUCAAGCUGAAAAACUGUGGCAGAUAUUUGCCGCCUUCUUAUUAAAGCCUAUCUUCUUUUGUUUUUACAGAACAACAAGUAAUCUGCCUACCUAGACAACAUUUUUAAGUAUUACGGAGGUGCUCCUGACAUGCAGACAACAACAUUAUUAUGCCUUCUAAGACACCUUGUUUUGGAUAAAUUAUAAAUCACUGCAUUUAUCAUGG